ACGCUCGACACCUACGGGAGGAGCAGUGGGGAAUAUUGCACAAUGGGGGAAACCCUGAUGCAGCGACGCCGCGUGAGCGAAGAAGUAUUUCGGUAUGUAAAGCUCUAUCAGCAGGGAAGAAGAAAGACGGUACCUGACUAAGAAGCCCCGGCUAACUACGUGCUAGCAGCCGCGGUAAUCUGAGCGGGCUGGCAAGGC
rnacentral:rRNA from 1 species